rnacentral:rRNA from 1 species
CGGAAGGAUCAUAGUUUGAAUUCGUUCAUCUUGAUUUGGAGGCGUGCUGUCGCAAGACGGUCGUCCCACCUUCACUUGCAGCCAGGCCGGAGCUGGAUAAUCGAGCCGAGCCCGUGUUACUCCUCGUGAGCACACGCUAAAGAGCGAUAUACGUGUCUUGUAGACUCUGAUGAUAAGAAAUACAACCAGUAGCACUGGAUCCCUCGGCAUGCCAUUCGAUGAAGACCGUAGCGAGUUGCGAUAAGCGAUGUGAUAUGCGAGUCCCAAACUGAUACGUGAACCAUCGGAUCGUCGAACGCACUGCACCGAGGAUUGCCCAUCCACGGUAUACCACAUUGAGUGUCAUUAUUCGUUCGUCUCUGACGAGUUCGGGGUCCACGGCCUUGCCGCGUUCCCUCAGAUUGAAGUCUGUGGCGUCAACCUGACCUUGCUAGUGUCUGUCGAGCCCCCUUUGACYGAGUUCACUGGGUACGCUACGUCCGCACCACAGGUCGGUCUGGCCGGGACGCUUGCGUCCAACCGUUCUCUAAUGAUGACCUCACGGUGGUAAGAUUACCCGCUAAACUUAAGCAUAUUAAUCAGCGGAGGAAAAGAAACUAACAAGGAUCCCUCA